rnacentral:piRNA from 1 species
CUUUUUCACAGUGUCUUUACCUAUCAGC